CAGUAGCCGCGGUAAUACGAAGGGUGCAAGCGUUAAUCGGAAUUACUGGGCGUAAAGCGUGCGUAGGCGGUGAGUUAAGUCUGCUGUGAAAUCCCCGGGCUCAACCUGGGAAUGGCAGUGGAUACUGGCAAGCUAGAGUGUGUCAGAGGAUGGUGGAAUUCCCGGUGUAGCGGUGAAAUGCGUUGAGAUCGGGAGGAACAUCAGUGGCGAAGGCGGCCAUCUGGGACAACACUGACGCUGAGGCACGAAAGCGUGGGGAGCAAACAGGAUUAGAUACCCGAGUAGUCCCUGUCUCUUAUAC
rnacentral:rRNA from 1 species